rnacentral:rRNA from 1 species
UACAGAGGGUGCGAGCGUUGUCCGGAAUCACUGGGCGUAAAGGGCGCGUAGGUGGCGCUCCAAGUCCGUGGUGAAAGCUCGAUGCUCAACAUCGAGUCGGCCACGGAGACUGGAGGGCUCGAGCACUGUAGGGGCAGAUGGAAUUCCGGGUGUAGCGGUGGAAUGCGUAGAGAUCCGGAAGAACACCAGUGGCGAAGGCGGCUUACUGGUCCGGUUCUGACGCUGAGGCGCGAAAGCGUGGGGAGCAAACAGG